GACAGAGGUGCCGAGCGUUAGGCGGAAUCACUGGGCUUAAAGCGUGUGUAGGCGGGCGAUCAAGUACCUUGUGAAAUCCCACGGCUCAACCGUGGAACCGCUGGGUAUACUGGUUGUCUUGAGCCGGCUAGGGGCGAGCGGAACAGACGGUGGAGCGGUGAAAUGCGUAGAUAUCGUCUGGAACGCCGAAGGUGAAAACAGCUCGCUGGGGCCGCGCUGACGCUGAGACACGAAAGCCAGGGGAGCGAACGCG
rnacentral:rRNA from 1 species